rnacentral:rRNA from 1 species
CCUACGGGAGGCAGCAGUAGGGAAUCUUCCACAAUGGACGCAAGUCUGAUGGAGCAACUCCGCGUGUGUGAAGAAGGGUUUCGGCUCGUAAAGCACUGUUGGUAGUGAAGAAAGAUAGAGGUAGUAACUAGCCUUUAGUUGACGGUAAUUACUUAGUAAGUCACGGCUAACUACGUGCCAGCAGCCGCGGUAAUACGUAGGUGGCAAGCGUUGUCCGGAUUUAUUGGGCGUAAAGCGAGUGCAGGCGGUUGAAUAAGUCUGAUGUGAAAGCCUUGGGCUCAACCUGAGAAUUGCAUCAGUAACUGUUGAACUUGAGUGCAGAAGAGGAGAGUGGAACUCCACGUGUAGCAGUGGAAUGCGUAGAUAUAUGGAAGAACACCAGUGGCGAAGGCGGCUCUCUGGUCUGCAACUGACGCUGAGGCUCGAAAGCAUGGGUAGCGAACAGGAUUAGAUACCCCUGUAGUC